GUCUGGGUGGCUCAGUCUGUAUAGCAUGUGACUCUUGAUCUCAGGGUCAUGAGUUCAAGUCUCAUGUUGGGCA
rnacentral:tRNA from 1 species